rnacentral:tRNA from 2 species
GGGUAGAUACCGAAGUGGCCAAACGGGGCGGACUGUAAAUCCGCUGGCUUACGCCUUCACUGGUUCGAAUCCAGUUCUGCCCACCA